GAUGAAGAACGUAGCGAAAUGCGAUACGUAAUGUGAAUUGCAGAAUUCAGUGAAUCAUCGAAUCUUUGAACGCAUAUUGCGCUCUCUGGUAUUCCGGAGAGCAUGCUUGUUUGAGUAUCAGUAAACACCUCAACUUCCAUAUCUUUUUUGAAAUGGGAGUUGGACUUGAGUGAUUCCAACGCUUUUCCUCACCGAAAAGUGGCGGGUUACUUGAAAUGCAGGUGCAGCUGGACUUUUCUCUGAGCUAUAAGCAUAUCUAUUUAGUCUGCCUAAAAAACAGAUUAUUACCUUUGCUGCAGCUAACAUAAAGGAGAUUAGUUCUUGUGCUGACUGAUGCAGGAUUCACAAAGACAGGCUUCGGCCGACUUUGUAAACUCGAUCUCAAAUCAAGUAAGACUACCCGCUGAACUUAAGCAUAUCAAUAAGCGGAGGA
rnacentral:misc_RNA from 1 species